rnacentral:rRNA from 1 species
AUUGAACGCUGGCGGCAUGCUUUACACAUGCAAGUCGGACGAGUGGCGAACGGGUGAGUAAUGUAUUGGAACGUACAGAGUAAUGGGGGAUAACUAACCGAAAGGCUGGCUAAUACCGCAUAUUAUUCGAGGGGCCAAUAUCUGAUUAGCUAGUGGGCGGGGUAAAGGCCUACCAAGGCGACGAUCAGUAGCGGGUCUGAGAGGAUGAUCUGCCACACGGGGACUGAGACACGGCCCAGACCCCUACGGGAGGCAGCAGUGGGGAAUUUUGGACAAUGGGCGCAAGCCUGAUCCAGCCAUGCCGCGUGUCUGAAGAAGGCCUUCGGGUUGUAAAGGACUUUUGUUAGGGAAGCGGUACCUGAAGAAUAAGCACCGGCUAACUACGUGCCAGCAGCCGCGGUAAUUC